rnacentral:rRNA from 1 species
UACGUAGGUGGCAAGCGUUGUCCGGAAUUAUUGGGCGUAAAGCGCGCGCAGGCGGGAUGGUAAGUCUAACUUAAAAGUGCGGGGCUCAACUCCGUGAGGGGUUGGAAACUACCAUUCUUGAGUGCAGGAGAGGAAAGUGGAAUUCCUAGUGUAGCGGUGAAAUGCGUAGAUAUUAGGAGGAACACCAGUGGCGAAGGCGACUUUCUGGACUGUGUCUGACGCUGAGGCGCGAAAGCCAGGGGAGUGAACGGGAUUAGAUACCCCGGUAAUCCUGGCCGUAAACGAUGGGUACUAGGUGUAGGAGGUAUCGACCCCUUCUGUGCCGGAGUUAACGCAAUAAGUACCCCGCCUGGGGAGUACGGCCGCAAGGUUGAA